AUACCAUGAUGAGGAUAUCUUUUGAGUAACUCCUUAAAUCUUUCUCAUACAUCAUACAAGCUCUCAUCUUCAAGUUGAUGGAAAGAUGUAUUCUCGUUCCUCAAUUU
rfam:Citrus sinensis cultivar Ridge Pineapple sweet orange scaffold00542_contig_11, whole genome shotgun sequence.